GCCUGAGCUCCCAGGAGAGGCCUGACAGCUGAGGAAUUGCCAGGGAACUAAAAAUGUGGGCAGCCGUAAUUAGAGCGCAUGGGGGUGGGGGGCACUGAGUCUUUCUGGAAGCGUCUAGACACUGCCCCUCCGGGAGUCUCUUUCCAAAAACCUGUCUCCAGCCUGCCCACCUCCUAGACCCCUGGCUUCUGGCUGCCCUUGGGGUCCUCUCAGCUCCAUCACUGCGGAGGGGGGCCGAGGAGGGGCCAGGUGGGAGGGCCGCGGGGGCGUCCUCCUGCCCUCCUGCCCGCUCUCCAGCAGAAAGAAGCUGUCUAGCUUGGGAGUCUGGGGACCUGACUGCUUCUGACUCUGUGACCUUGGCCAGCAGCCGGCCUCUGUGACUCAUUUUCUUCAUCUGUACAAUGAAACCAUUGGACUGGAUGUUCUCGAAGACUCCUUCCAGCGCUGGUGAAUCAACAGUUUCUCCUCCACUCUCCCCUCUCCCCGCCUCCCGUCGCCCAGGGAUGUGUCUGCGGGUCUGCCUGCCGCCACUACGCCUUGCCUUUGGUCUCUGCCCGCUCCCCUGAUGGCGGGGCCGGCUCGCUCCCUGGUUUCCUGGUUCACUCCUCUACUCACUCAACAGACAUGUCAGGGUGCCUGUUUGGAGAUACAGAGGCGUGGCCUGGGCUCCAGAGACUCACGGAUUUAGGGAGAGAGAGGCAUGCCAACAAAUAACUGGCUCAAGGUCUUCACGCCCUGUGAGUCCCCUGGUGGCUCAGCAGGUUAAGGAUCCGGCAUUGUCACAGCUGUGGUGUGUGGCCACCAAAAACAAAACCAAACAAACCAACCAAACAAACAAACGAAAACUUGAUGCCCUAAAGGCAGGAACAGACCCAGAACUGCAAGAACCCAGAGGCAAGAGUGGCCACUGCAGCUGGGGAUCAGGAAGGCUCCUUGUUGGAGGAGGCAGCUGAGCUGGGCCUCGAACCUUGAGCCCACAGGAACCUGGCAGGUGUGGAGGCCCAGGGGGGCCCAGGGAGGAGGACGGGGUGGGAGCGGAGUUUGGAGGGUGCAGGAGGAGGGGCUGGCCAUUCCAGGUGGAGCCAUUCAGAAGGCCUUCUGAGCGCCGUGGCUCCUCAUGGGGUCCUCAGGGCGGGGAGUUUUGUUUCGUUAAUUCCAUACUGUGUCCUGGGAACCAGGCCCUGGGCGUGACACAUAGGGUUCCGUAAGCAUGUGUGGUCAGACGUGCGUUUUCGAUGUGGUGGGAUGGACGGACGAGGGGGCCAGACCCAGGCAGGCCAGCAGGCGGGAAGGUAGGUAAGGGGGGGCCAUGGUGAGAGGCCAGCAGCAGGGGUGGGCAGAACAGGAAGAAGUGGCACUGCCUGGUGACAGCCUGGCUGUGGGCAUGGGGUGAGGAAGGCGGUCUGCUGGGCAGCGACAGAAUGGGAGGGGAGAAGGGGAAGGGGCAGCUUUGGGCUCACUGUGAGACAGGCUGAACUUCUUUGGGGGGCCGUGCCCAUGCGGAAUUUCCCAGGCUGGGGAUGGAUGGAAGCUGUGCACGACAGUGACAACGCCAGAUCCUUAACCACUAGGCCGCCAGGGAAUUCAGGACAGGCUGGAAUUUUAUGCCCACUUUUGGGUGUGUUUCAUGUCCCUCCACCAAGUGGUGGCAUCUUCAGAGCAAGGCCAGGUCUGCUUUUCCUGUAGCCCCAGGCCUUGCCUGAGGCCCGGUUCUGCUGAACCUGGGUAACGAGUUAGAGGGUUCAUGGGGGCUUCUUUGAACGGCUGCCUCAGAUCAGGAACAGAGCCACUGGCCAAAGGCCUCCUCAGGUGUCCCUUCCAAUGUGAGGGAAAAGAAACUGGAGGGGAGUCGGGUGUGGAGACUCCCGACAGGCCACAGGCCUCGGAUCACGGCCACAGGCCUCGGAUCACGGCCCCCUGCUCCGUGGCCCAGACCAGACCAAGGACACCUCCUGUGCCACAGCUCCCACAGCCCAGAGCCGUGACCACACCCGCUGCCGUCUCCGCAGACUUGGGCCAGGGUUCUUGACCUGUGGGGCCGGCCCUGAACGACUGCAGAGCGUCUGUGGGCUCUGAAGUCGCCUGCAGGUGGUGGGCGUGUGGACCGUCUUCUGAGGAAAGGCUUCCCACCCUUCGUCAGAUUCCUGAAGAGCGGCUGAGUCAAAGCGAGGUUAAAAUCUGCCACUCUAAGAGAACAGAAGGAGGAAGAGGAGGAGGAGAAUGUAUUUCAUUGGCUCUAUGUAAGAGGCAGACAGACACACGAGUAGCUAUUAAAAAGCAAAAACCAAACCAAACCAAAACAACACCCCUGCCAGGCCAAGCUCUCCCUUUCCAAGCCCCGUCCCAGCACCCAGCCAGGGCCAGACACACGGAAUUUUCCUUCAGUGACCCCUUAGGGACCACUCACUUUAUACCAGGCCCCCCACCAGGAUGAGGAGAUCCCCUUUCAGCUUCCUCCUGGCCCCCUGUGGAGACCGGAUUUAAAGCUAGAGUUGCUU
rnacentral:lncRNA from 1 species